ACAAAUCCAUGAACUAUAGACUACAAUCAAACUAAUAUUUUCUGUCCAAACAUAACAACCAUGCAUUGAACUACACAUUUCGUUGAUAAAAUUGAAGUUCAAUUUUUUACAAAAUGAAUAGGAAUGUUUUGAAAUUUGUGCUUAUCCACCGUUUAAGCUAAACGCCUUUGAAACAACCGGCUCCUGGUUAUCCUAACCCAUUGAGUGGCGAUGCACCCUGAUGCACCCUACUUUAGUAUUUUACUCUGCCUAACGCCAGACAAUUUUACUCGUCAAGGGGAGAGCGCUGGCACUUAAUGGGUUAACCCGCCUAUCUGCCCAUAUGUCUAGUUAACCUAUUCAGUGGCGAUGCUCCCUGAUGCACCCUACUUUAGCAUUUUACUCUGUCUAACGCCAGACGAUUUUACUCGUCAAGGGGAGAGCGAUAGCCUGGCGCUUAAUGGGUUAACCCGCCUAUCUGCCCAUAUGUCUAGUUAACCUAUUCAGUGGCGAUGCUCCCUGAUGCACCCUACUUUAGCAUUUUACUCUGUCUAAUGCCAGACGAUUUUACUCGUCAAGGGGAGAGCGCUGGCGCUUAAUGGGUUAACCCGCCUAUCUGCCCAUAUGUCUAGUUAACCUAUUCAGUGGCGAUGCUCCCUGAUGCACCCUACUUUAGCAUUUUACUCUGUCUAACGCCAGACGAUUUUACUCGUCAAGGGGAGAGCGCUGGCGCUUAAUGGCCGGGUUAACUAGCUAGCCUAUCUGCCCAUGUGUCUAGUUAACCCAUUGAGUGGCAAUGCUCCCUGAUGCACCCUACUUUAGUAUUUUACUCUGUCUAACGCCAGACGAUUUUACUCAUCAAGGGGAGAGCGCUGGCGCUUAAUGGGUUAAUAUAAGCAAAAUCUUGUUUUAUCAAAUUAUCCAUUGUUAGAUGGCAUGCAAAAUAACAACACAGCAUUGCCAAGAAUUUGUAUUCUUGUUGGAAUUUCCUAUAUUGAGCACUUACUAUAUUUCACUCUGUCUAACAAUUUGGAACUAAUUUGAUAAAGGAACAUGGCAAUAAUGCCUCAUAAAGGCCACAUGCAUUAUAUUGUUUUGGUUCAGUUUUUUAUACACUAUGCAUGGAUAGACUUUAAUUGGCAAAAGUACAAUGGUGACAGUUUUGUAAAUAAGUUAAUAUUGAGGAAGAUAAUUGUAUAAUGUUUUGAUAGAUAUUUUCAAC
rnacentral:lncRNA from 1 species